rnacentral:rRNA from 1 species
AACGAACGCUGGCGGCAGGCUUAACACAUGCAAGUCGAACGCAUGCCUUCGGGCAUGAGUGGCAGACGGGUGAGUAACGCGUGGUAACCUACCCCUUGGUACGGGAUAGCUCCGGGAAACUGGAGAUAAUACCGUAUGUGUCCUGAGGGACAAAGAUUCAUCGCCAAGGGAUGGGCCCGCGUCGGAUUAGCUAGUUGGUGGGGUAACGGCCUACCAAGGCGACGAUCCGUAGCUGGUCUAAGAGGAUGAUCAGCCACAUUGGGACUGAGACACGGCCCAAACUCCUACGGGAGGCAGCAGUGGGGAAUAUUGGACAAUGGGCGCAAGCCUGAUCCAGCCAUGCCGCGUGAGUGAUGAAGGCCCUAGGGUUGUAAAGCUCUUUCACCGGUGACGAUAAUGACGGUAACCGGAGAAGAAGCCCCGGCUAACUUCGUG